rnacentral:rRNA from 1 species
GACGAACGCUGGCGGUGUGCCUAACACAUGCAAGUCGAACGGAAAGGCCCUGCUUUUGUGGGCUGCUCGAGUGGCGAACGCGGGAGUAACACGUGAGUAACCUGCUCUUCACUUUGGGAUAACUUCAGGAAACUGGGGUUAAUAUCGGACAGGAGCUCCUCCUGCAUGGAGGGGGUUGGAACGUUUCGGCGGUCGGGGAUGGACUCGCGGCUUACCAGCUAGUUGGUUGGGUAGUGGCUUACCAAGGCAUUGGCCGGUCGGUGGCCUGAGAGGGUGACCGGCCUCCAUGGUCCUGCGGUACGCCGCAGUCUCCUACGGGAGGCAACAGUGGGGAAUCUGGCACAGUGAGCCGACGCCUGAUGCGGCAGCGCCGCGUGCGUGAUGACGGCCUUCGGGUUGUGAAACGCUUUCGCCUAUGACGAAGCGUGAGUGACGGUAAUGGGUGAAGAAGCACCGGCUAACUACGUG